rnacentral:rRNA from 1 species
AUUGAACGCUGGCGGCAGGCUUAACACACGCAAGUCGAGCGGUAACAGAGAGAAGCUUGCUUCUCUGCUGACGAGCGGCGGACGGGUGAGUAAUGCCUAGGAAUCUGCCUAGUAGUGGGGGAUAACUUGCCGAAAGGUAAGCUAAUACCGCAUACGUCCUACGGGAGAAAGGAGGGGACCUUCGGGCCUUUCGCUAUUAGAUGAGCCUAGGUCGGAUUAGUUAGUUGGUGAGGUAAUGGCUCACCAAGACCGCGAUCCGUAACUGGUCUGAGAGGAUGAUCGGUCACACUGGAACUGAGACACGGUCCAGACUCCUACGGGAGGCAGCAGUGGGGAAUAUUGGACAAUGGGGGGAACCCUGAUCCAGCCAUGCCGCGUGUGUGAAGAAGGUCUUAGGAUUGUAAAGCACUUUAAGUUGGGAGGAAGAGCAGUUAACUAAUAUUUGACUGUUUUGACGUUACCGACAGAAUAAGCACCGGCUAACUUCGUGCCAGCCGCCGCGGUAA